rnacentral:rRNA from 1 species
GACGAACGCUGGCGGCGUGCUUAACACAUGCAAGUCGAACGGAAAGGCCCUGCUUUUGUGGGGUGCUCGAGUGGCGAACGGGUGAGUAACACGUGAGUAACCUGCCCUUGACUUUGGGAUAACUUCAGGAAACUGGGGCUAAUACCGGAUAGGAGCUCCUGCUGCAUGGUGGGGGUUGGAAAGUUUCGGCGGCUGGGGAUGGACUCGCGGCUUAUCAGCUUGUUGGUGGGGUAGUGGCUUACCAAGGCUUUGACGGGUAGCCGGCCUGGGAGGGUGACCGGCCACCUGGGGCCUGCGAUAGGGCCCAGACUCCUACGGGGGGCAGCAGUGGGAAGUAUUGCACAAUGGGCGCACGCCUGUUGAGGCAACCCCGCGUGCGGGAUGACGGCCUUCGGGUUGUAAACCGCUUUCGCCUGUGACGAAGCGUGAGUGACGGUAAUGGGUAAAGAAGCACCGGCUAACUACGUG